rnacentral:rRNA from 1 species
CUCCGUGGAGGGGGGCCUGCGGAAGGAUCAUUA